GAAAGAAACUGAAGUCGAGACACGGUGUCAGUUAUCAUGUAGGAUUUCGAAACUCCGAUGACAAACGAGUGAUCAUCAAAUUUAUUAAGAAGAACCGGCCUGAGAAACUAUUGGAAUUGCCUGGGUAUUCCAAACCUUUAAGUCAAGAGGCAGCUGCAAUGUUGAUGGUGCAAAAGCCUCCAACUAGCGAGCAUCUCGUACAAUUAUAUGAUCACUUUGUCAUGGAAGAUCAAGAUGUCUUGAUCAUGGAGUAUCCACGUUCCUACAUCACCCUGUUUGAGUAUGUCCAACGAAACAGAGGUAACCUGACUGAAACCGCGGUGAAACACAUCAUUCGGGAGCUCAUUGUUGCUCUUCAGCACUGCACGGGUCGUGGUGUUUAUCAUGAGACGCAUAUGAAAAACAUACUUGUCUGCACAAAAACCCUGCAAGUAAAGCUGAUGGACUUUGAAGGCGCACUGCUCGUCGAAGAAAGACGAGAAGACGAACCUAUAUUAAUCAGUGCAAUCAGAAAGUACGCUGAAUGGGCAACAACUGAUGACAUAUGCAAACUGCUGGAUGUGAUGGUCCCAAGAAUAAGUCGUUGGUUUUGGAUAAGACCACGGGUGUCCAAAG